rnacentral:rRNA from 1 species
UACGGGGGGAGCAAGCGUUGUUCGGAUUUACUGGGCGUAAAGGGCGCGUAGGCGGCGUAACAAGUCACUUGUGAAAUCUCCGGGCUUAACCCGGAGCGGCCAAGUGAUACUGUUGUGCUAGAGUGCGGAAGGGGCUACUGGAAUUCUCGGUGUAGCGGUGAAAUGCGUAGAUAUCAGGAGGAACACCGGUGGCGAAAGCGCUCGUCUGGCCCAAUACUGACGCUGAUGCGCGAAAGCUAGGGGAGCAAACGGG